ensembl:lncRNA
CGAGAAGCAGCAGUACCAAGAGGACGCGGAGCGGGAGUGACGAGAAUAACAUUGCACUCUCUGCUCCUUGGAUGACAAGCGCUCCUUUCUCCUUCUCCUUCUCCCCCCCGGACCGCCUCCCCACCCUGCAACUCCUCCGAACAAGUCACCGUCUCACCUCUUCCUUUUCCCUCCCUCUCUCUCUCUCUCUCUACGCCCGUCUCCGCGUCUUCCUUUUAAUCUUAAAUGUAGGAUACUUUAUUGUCUCCCCACCCCCCCUCUCCAUCCCUCCCUCCCUCCCUCCCUCCCUCCCAUCCCAGAGAUGCGCGCAAUGAGAAAUCUUUAGUCGCCAGUGACUUGUCACAGCAGCAGCGUCGGCAGUUCAACCCGGUUCCGUGUUGAAGACACCACCAAACAGCCCGGGAUCUCAGUCAGACGUGUUUUGGAGAUGCUUCUGCCUCCACACAUUGACACGUUGGAAUCGUGCGCUGUCGUUUAAACACUGAAUCCUGCGCUCCGACGCGCGUUUCUGCGAAUUACAUUUUUUUCUCCCUUAAUAGCAGCUUUUUGACCUUCUAGUGGAGUGACAUGGAUGAUUUAUGUACGUGCAAAGUUUGACCGACGCCAGCAACCGAGGGGACACCUUGUGGUGUGCGCACAGUGGACCACCUGUCUGCGGAUCUGGUGCAAGCGUGCGCCAAUGUUGCUCGGUUAAUUGAGAGGAGGACGGUCAUUCUUUUCGUCCAGGACUCAACUUCAAAGCGAUCAGGCAUUCCCCGUUCUCUAGUGUUUAGCGGGGGUUUGCAGCCUCGGUGAGAAGGGGAUGUUGUUUCCAACGUGCUCAUGGAUAUAGCCCGAUAAUGAUUGUAUUAUUGACACUUGGAGUAAGGUCCGUCACUUGAGUGUCUCAGCCCUUAUCGACUUUUGUGGAAAGCCUUCUAAAUGGGAGGAUACCUGGAGGACUGACUCGGAUUUGGUGUCGAGAGAAUGUGGAUUAAACGGUGUAUAACGCGCAGGUGAGCGUGCAGGCUGAAACCCGAGGACCCAGUGAGCUCGUAAAGCCACCAUGUGUCCGGCUCCCCACAGAUUGUUUUAUGAGCUGAACUGUGGUGUACGGCGGUGUCGUCCGCAGGUGAUGGAGAGGCGGGGCCCUUCUGUGACUCCCUGAUCCCUUAAGUGGUCCGUGUCCUUUCAUAUACAGGGACGCUAUUCAGUGAUGUCACAAAUGGAGAGAAGCUAUCCUGGGUCAACUGUACAACGAGGACAAGCAAUGGGAUUGUUUGACAAUAUUUGAGAAGCUGUGGAUCAGUCAGUGGUUAAAAAUUGUUAUAGCUGUGGAUACAUACACUACAUCUCUACAUCGCCUAACUGUGGAACAUGUUCAAUAAGAAGUACACUUUUACAAAGUAUUGCUGAAGUAAUAAAAACGUCCAAGCUGGAUGUAUGAUUCAUUGUAAAUGUGACGUCUGAAGUUCUGAAGUCUGAAGUCGCAAACGUUGAGUACAUUAACUGAACUGCCUCAGAAUAUUCCUGGCUCAUGCCUCAGACGCCCCUCCACCAACAUUAAUACUCUUAAUGGAAUCGGGGACGGAUGGAGAUGGACUGCGCGCUUAUUUCCUCCCAACAUCAACCCCCCCAAGCCUGAGCUGGGCGCUUGAAGCACUUGCACGUCACAGCUUGAAUCCUGGCAACCACAGUUAGAGCAGCGAAUACCAGGGAGCCCUAACAAUUUGUCUUUUCUUUUCUUCAAAGCAAAGCCACGUGCCUGACCUAUACAAAAACAACAAGACCUGCUUUGCUUUGACCCCUUAGCAACGCUCCCCCACUCCCGAUAGCUCAAUGUAUUGACUGACACAGGAUUGAUGACUUAACUUUGAUUGAUUAAAGUGUGGCUCUCCUGGCUCGGAGGGGAAAAACAAUCAACAGUCUUCCCCCUUCAUGAAAACAAACAGUCUUAAGAGUUAUGUACCGCGACCCCGCUCUGAAAUGGCUUUUAUACAGACAACAAAUGAGAAAGAAUGGCUUCAGGGCUGGCUAGGGACCAGGCUGCCAGUACAUUUCGGGCGAUGUACACCACCAGUAGCGGUGUACAUCGCAGGCAUCCCACCGUUUGUUCUUAAUCGGCAGAACUCAGUGCAUACAGAAUAAUGCCUACCCGUGGAGCCUGCAUGCACGCCUCAGACGUGUCCAUGAGGAGGAGGAGGAGGAGGUCACGCCAUACGUGUUGUUCUCUGUUCACCGUGGGUGUGUUCGGUGGGGGUUUCCUCAUGUUAACCGUAAUGACACAGAGUGCGGAGCGACAAGGGGAUUAAUGACAUAUGCUGGGACAUGUGAUCUUCGAGUGACUCAAUGAUUAGCUGCUACUGACACCAGCUAGGAAUUCUGUACCUCGCCUCAGUCACUGAGUUGUAAGGCAGCCAGCACUCCUACGUCUAGAUGAGCGAUGCUUGGAUGAUGGUGUCUUCCCAACACUUUCCUCCCCCAGAAUAUCUGCAACAUAUAGAGAGCUAUGGGUAAUGCCCUUUUGGAUGAGAGUCAAACACCCUAAACUAGGGGUGUCAAACUCAUAUGACGUUGCGAGCCACAAAGACCAAGUGCUACUUCAUCGGUAGGGCAUGGGGGUAUCCUAACGGUGGCAAUGUUAAAUAACUUUGUUACCACUGCUUGCUACUUUAACCGCUAACUGCUUCCUUUGUAGGCCUACCCUGAUGAUGUUGUAUGUGCUGGUUAAUAUAUUUUUUCUCUUUAAUUAAAUCCUAUUUCAUCACAGUUUGACACCUAAAAACAAACAAUCCGGAAUGAGACAAGUAAACAUUAAUAGUAAAACGUGUAGUUGGGAGAGUAAGGAAAUAUAUCUUCUUACGGUAUGUACGAUAUGAGUAACCGUGCAGUGCAAUGGCUCUCUCCUUUGGCUGCUAUGGUCGGUCCCCUGCUGGCUCCCUGCUUGGCUUCACUAGUUCUCCAUCUUCCCGGGAAGUCUAUAGUGUCGCUGGGCGACCUGCUGCUGGCUGCUCGUGGAACCAGAAUUCACCAAAGUGCCUCAAUCCCGUCACGACUAGCCGUGGCGGAGAGUGACAGAGUGGGAGAGCGUUGGAUCGAUGUUUAGCUCAGCCGGUGGCAGCUCUCUCUCUCUCUGUGAGGCCGGAGACUCUGUGGGUUUCCGUACCUCUGUCCCUUUGGGGCUGUACGGAAUGCAAACCACUACAAAAUGAAGUUCUGCUCUUGGGGAUUAUGUGUGUUAUGUAAAUUCAGAUGUUUUCUGGAUAUUUAAUUAGACAAGAUGGCAUUUUCUCGAUCCCUGAUUGGUGUUUUGCCUGGAUGCUGAAUUGCACACGAGUGGAUAUUUUUUUGUAUUUUCAUAAACCGAUUGAAUAUAUCUUCUAGAGUGGGGAGUGUCUGUCAGACGCUCACAGUGAACCAAUAAAGGCUGAAUAGCAUAGAUACUCGCGUCAAAUACAUGACGCAUAAUACAUAAACACAACUCAUACUCGUUAAUCACAUGUAUUACCAGCAUUGACGCAUCCCCCCAAAAGAGAGAAGUAGAUCAGCUUGUCACCGAUACUAAAACCAAAGCCCAAUAUAUAGCUAUAAAUCAAACGUUUGGCGGUCUCUCCACCUCUUCGUCUGAAUUGAGUGGAGGAGUUCAGCGGGCUUCUAACCCGGGGCGUUGGACACCCAUUGGGGCCAUCCGUUCUAACAAUGAAGCACACGCAGACAUUGUAAGACUCUUAGAAAUGAAAGCGUUCAACCAGCACCCCAUAUAUCCAAAGGUGUGGGUUACCUACAGCUCCGGCACACAGACCCAUGCUUACCUCAUCACUCACAGCCGCUGCAUUCACCCCCUGCGGUGACAUAUUGUGACUCAAGCACAGAGCAGACUAAGCACCGCGCAAAGCUCCCACGACCACGCCUGACAUGCAGCACCCUGCCUUCGCGGCCGCUCGGUUUAAGGGUAAUCUGGCACCAAGCAGUCCUGCUUUGUUGUAGCAGUGGAGCUCCUGGGGGGAGAUGGCACCUAGCCUUGGCCAGGAACCAGACACUGAUUUCUACAGGGGAAAACUCAUUCCUGCGAGUGGGUGAAGCUUUCAGAAUGGGGGAUUUUGUAUUGUGUACUUCUACAGCUGGUAGUGUUGUUGAUUUCAAACCUUGAAAGAUACUUUUUCACGGUCCCUGCUGCCGAGCAUGUGAUUUCCCAAAAUACGCGCUUACAGAUCCGCGCUUCAAGCCACACGAUUGGUAGACACAAAUACAGAAGCAUAACAAAGUUAAACCCUGCCACGUUUACCGAGAUUAGAGCUCGCCUGCCAUCAGACUUCCGACAUAUCAAUCUAAAGUCUGAUCGGUGAAACUAGUUCCAUGGUAAAACAUUGGCCCCUCCCUCCCAAUCAUUUCCCUUUCCUGCCAGCGCAGACACGGAGCGUGGAUGCAUUCAGACGGCUUCCCCCCGCCUCUUAUGUCGUGAUUGAAGGAGUGCAAACAACUUAAGCCUCAAGCCUCCAACCGACGACUAAAGAGCAGCUCUUUACGUACACUUGAGACAUUUCCUUGAUCUACGCGUCUCCUUCCAGGAGGAUGCAGUGUGUGUUCAGUCGAGUGUCUGUUCAGCGAGGAGACAGAUUGCGGUUACGCUGAUGGAAAGGGUUUACCCCCGGUGCAAACAAAUAACUUUCCAGAACGUUCCGGAGCAGUUUGGGCCAUUAUAACAUCGGCUGGCUGUCAAAGGCCCCCCCAACACUAAGUCUCUUUUGCGUCAAGCUAGCGGGGGCUAAGAGCGAUGGCUACGGCAGGCCGGUCCCUGGGACACAUACAUCAGAGGGUCCCGGGACGGCGGUGGCACCCUUAUGGCCUCCGGGAGGGCUAUUAGCCAGGUCUCUCUGGGGCGUGAUUAAACUCAUUGGCAGUGAAAGAGGGAAGAGGAGGGAUACGUUACGCCCUCUGAGCAAUUCCCGCCCUCCUGAGACUUCAGUGGUGCAACUGGACGAGAAAAAGUGUGUGUGUGUGAGUGUGUGUCCUUUCACAUCUGUGCCCAGUUGUCUCAAUAUCGGUUUGUGUGUAUAGGCGAGUCAUUGUGUGUUUUGUGUGUUUAACGGCAAGCUGAAAGCUAGUGAAGCCUACCAGUAGGCGGUCUAGAACAAGACCCUCCAAAAGCUUUUUCUCAACAGCAGGUAUCCAAACUCACUGUCAGUGUGUGCCACACAGUGUAAGGGUUGUGCUGAGGCCAGCCGUGCGUGGUGUGUGCGUGCUUGCGCGCGCAGCAGCCGCGUGUGCAUGUGUUUUUGCACGCAGUGAAGAGAAAAAGCUCCCAUGCACUUAGCUGUUUGUGCAGGGGGCUGACCCCAGGACGCUCCUCACCAAGCCCCACCGACGCCCUGCCGGAUGCUCCAUCAACCCCUGAUCCAGAGGAAUCCAAGCCCCACAGGGACCAUAGAGCCAGACAUUCAUCAAUUACUCCACACCUGCCUCAGGGCCCCUGCCUAUGGAGGGGGCGAGCCUGUAGGUUGGCUAAUGCACAGUUAAGCUUGGCACCCCCACCCCUCCCAGAACUCCUGGGUAUCCUGCUGCUCCCCCCCGCCUUGCCUUAGGAGGGGGGGGGAAUUGAUAAUGGACAGGUGUGUGUGUGUGUGUGUGUGUGUGUGUGUGUGUGUGUGUGUGUGUGUGUGCAUGUGUGGUGUGUGAAACAUUCUGAUGUAUAGGCAUCCCUUUCCUUUGGAUAGGCAACCCAGACCCUCAGCGGGCCUGACCAGGGAUUGAUCUGUGUGGAUGGCUAGAGGGGGAAAUACAUGAUUGAUGGAUGGAUGGAUGGAUGGAUGGAUGAAUAGGUGAUACACGGAUGGACAAACAAUGUGUGGCUUGAGGGAGGACAGAGAUCUGGUUGGUCGGUUGCAUGGACACAUGUGAGAAAGUGUCUGGUAAGGAAAACGUGUUGAUUUCUUUACCACAGAGGAGGCAUGUGACGGUUCCAGAAACAUCUGCUCUCUGAUGGAAAGACGAAUUUAAAGAUUUCCAUGAAUUUCACAAGGCGGCUGCGACUUUGUCACACCAUUGCUUAAACCAUGUACCUCAUGAAUAUGUCAUUAGUUUCUCACGAGGGUCAUUACCCCAGUUACAGGUGCUCAUCAGUCCACCAGUCUCUCCAGUCCUCCCCACGCACCAGGAGGAAGACAAGAGAAGCUCUGGUUUCAGAACCCAGCUGCUAUCACAUGCUUGUUUGCGCGGCCCCUUGCGUGUGUGCGCCCACUCCUUACUUAUUGCAGCAGGUCCGCCCCACCCGGCCUGGGUGAGAGCUGUGUGUGGGGUUGGGGGGGGGGGCUCCGACGUGAGUCAUGGCGCUGGGGGUUCAUCGCGAUCGAUAGCCCCUCCAAAGUAUCCUUCACAGCCGCGGCCGCUAACAGGCUGGGAGUGGUGUCCCUGGGGAACACCGCCUCACCGCCACAACACCUCUGGAUGAGCUGCAGGCUGGGAGGGUUCUCACCUUUGACUACAGCAGCCAGCCAUCUCUCUC